rnacentral:misc_RNA from 1 species
GAACUUUCCUGGUAGCUUCAAACCUGAGGGGAAGGACAUUAUAUAAUUUUAGAAAAAGCUAUAGAGCACUUGACGUAAACUAAACAAAUUGAAUGGAGAUGCAAUUAUACAAAUGCACAUUAUACUUUGUUUAUUUUUGUAUCUUUUUGUUGCAGUAAAGCAGUAUACUCUACUGACCUACCGUAGCAUAUCCAACAAUUUGCUGCUUUCCUACUUGUGUUAAGUGUGAUAACACAAUGGACAAUUAUGCCCUUGUACACAUAUUUUGAAGAUUAAGCACAUAAUAAUAAUGACAUAUCUCUAACACAAACAAGGCAGCUACAGAAAACAAUUUUAGCAGAAGAGGAUGUAAAUUCUAAUUUAUAUGGGUCUCAAAAAUUAUACCCCAAAACAGAAUAAACUGACCAGAAAAACUUAAAAAGGAAACAUACCCAUCCAUUUCUGGCAUCUGGA